GGGCUCGUGGUCUAGGGGUUAUGACACCGCCUUCACACGGCGGAGGUCGAGGGUUCGAAUCCCUCCGAGCCCA
rnacentral:tRNA from 1 species